UACGUAGGGGGCAAGCGUUGUCCGGAAUCAUUGGGCGUAAAGCGCGUGUAGGCGGCUCGGUAAGUCCGCUCUGAAAGCCCGGGGCUCAACCCCGGGAGGCGGAUGGAUACUGCUUGGCUCGAGUCCGGAAGAGGCGAGUGGAAUUCCCGGUGUAGCGGUGAAAUGCGCAGAUAUCGGGAGGAACACCAAUGGCGAAGGCAGCUCGCUGGGACGGUACUGACGCUGAGACGCGAAAGCGUGGGGAGCAAACAGG
rnacentral:rRNA from 1 species